CCAACUCCCAAGAUCAUCAUCAUCAUCAUCUUCAUCGAACAGAUCAACAGAUCAUCUUUAUCAUCUUCAUCGAACAUCUUCAUCAUCGAACAUCUUUAUCAUCGAACAGAUCAGAAUGGCUGCGGAUGUAAAGAUACGCAAAACACCAACUACGAAGGCGAGAACACUUGACAACCUCCUAGAAGAUGGUGCGGUGCACAUAAGGAAGUGAUUGAUAU